rnacentral:sRNA from 1 species
UUUUACCCCAGAUUGAAGUGGAAAGCAUUUUUAUAGAAGGCUUCCUUUUUUCUUGACCAAAAAGAGCGACUGGAAGAAGCUCCUUUAUGGUCUUAGAAAAAAAAGCGUUCUAGGAAAAUCUUGAAAUGGAAAGCUGGAUUUAGG